rnacentral:pre_miRNA from 1 species
GUGUCCCCUAGAGUUCCCCCCUUCACUUCAGCCAAGACUCCAUUUGCCCAGAAUUCUUGUCACAACAACUACUUGGCUGAAGUGUUUGGGGGAACUCUGGGUGCCGC